rnacentral:lncRNA from 1 species
UUAUUUGGAGUACGUGGGCUGUAUGUUUUCUCUCUAACCUUUCUGUUGUAAAUUUCUCCAAGAAAGGAAACCAAAUAGAAUCUUGGAGAAGAUGUUCCCAGUUGGGAUGUCUUACUAAAGGAAGUUGAUCCAAAAUGCACAGGGGAUGGACUAUGCUGGGUGCUGUGUCUCACCAACCAGAUGUUUACUUCUCUUGGAAAUAUGAGUGUUGAGAAGUCACGUGUGAGCCGUUUUCUGGGAAUUUCCCUGAGAUAAAAAGUACCGCCUCCUUCAAGUUUCAGACGCCUGCUCAGUGGUCACAUAUCUAAUGAUGGUGGACGCAGGAGUGCGAAGGUCAGCUC